rnacentral:rRNA from 1 species
GUUAUAGGAUCAAGCGACUAAGUGCAUGUGGUGGAUGCCUUGGCGAUCACAGGCGAUGAAGGACGUGCAAGCCUGCGAAAAGCGGGGGGGAGCUGGCAAUGGAGCUUUGAUCCCCCGAUAUCCGAAUGGGGAAACCCGGCCCGCAAGGGUCAUCCCAUCCUGAAUCCAUAGGGAUGUGGAGGCGAACGCAGCGAACUGAAACAUCUAAGUAGCUGCAGGAACAGAAAUCAACCGAGAUUCCGUAAGUAGUGGCGAGCGAACACGGAAGAGCCUGCACGACUAAACCAUCAACUUAGCAGAACGGUCUGGAAAGUCCGGCAAUAAAGGGUGAUAGCCCCGUAUGCGAAAAGUCGGUGGCGGGUCUGAGCGUGCGACAAGUAGGGCGGGACACGAGAAAUCCUGUCUGAAGAUGGGGGGACCAUCCUCCAAGGCUAAAUACUCGUGAUCGACCGAUAGUGAACUAGUACCGUGAGGGAAAGGCGAAAAGAACCCCGGGAGGGGAGUGAAAUAGAUCCUGAAACCGCAUGCAUACAAACAGUGGGAGCCUCCUUCGUGGGGUGACUGCGUACCUUUUGUAUAAUGGGUCAGCGACUUACGUUCAGUGGCGAGCUUAACCGAAUAGGGGAGGCGUAGCGAAAGCGAGUCUGAUAAGGGCGACAUAGUCGCUGGGCGUAGACCCGAAACCGGAUGAUCUAUCCAUGGCCAGGAUGAAGGUGCGGUAACACGCACUGGAGGUCCGAACCCACUAAUGUUGAAAAAUUAGGGGAUGAGCUGUGGAUAGGGGUGAAAGGCUAAACAAAUCCGGAAAUAGCUGGUUCUCCCCGAAAACUAUUUAGGUAGUGCGUCGUACGGACACUUGCGGGGGUAGAGCACUGUAAUCGUUGGGGGGGUCACUGCGAUCUACCCCGCGAUAGCAAACUCCGAAUACCGCAAAGUGAUAUACGGCAGACAGACAUCGGGUGCUAACGUCCGGUGUCAAGAGGGAAACAACCCAGACCGCCAGCUAAGGUCCCAAAUGCAUGGCUAAGUGGCAAACGAAGUGGGAAGGCAUAGACAGCUAGGAGGUUGGCUUAGAAGCAGCCACCCUUUAAAGAAAGCGUAAUAGCUCACUAGUCGAGUCGUCCUGCGCGGAAGAUGUAACGGGGCUCAAGCCAUGAACCGAAGCUGCGGAUGUGUCUUUGACACGUGGUAGGGGAGCGUUCCGUAAGCCUGCGAAGGUGUCUCGUAAGGGAUGCUGGAGGUAUCGGAAGUGCGAAUGCUGACAUGAGUAGCGAUAAAGGGUGUGAAAAGCACCCUCGCCGAAAGCCCAAGGUUUCCUGCGCAACGUUCAUCGGCGCAGGGUGAGUCGGCCCCUAAGGCGAGGCAGAAAUGCGUAGUCGAUGGGAAACGGGUCAAUAUUCCCGUACCGGUUCUAGAUGCGAUGGGGGGACGGAGAAGGUUAGGCCAGCCGGGUGUUGGACGUCCCGGUUUAAGCGUGUAGGCGUGCCCCGUAGGCAAAUCCGCGGGGCUGAGCUGAGGCGUGAUGACGAGGACCCUCGUGGUCUGAAGUGGUUGAUACCCUGCUUCCAGGAAAAGCCUCUAAGCUUCAGUCUAGAAUCGACCGUACCGCAAACCGACACAGGUGGGCAGGUUGAAAAUACCAAGGCGCUUGAGAGAACUCAGGAGAAGGAACUCGGCAAAUUGAUACCGUAACUUCGGGAGAAGGUAUGCCCCAUUAGCUUGUAGGAGUACAUCCGAAGGGCGAAGGGGCCGCAGAGAAUCGGUGGCUGCGACUGUUUAUUAAAAACACAGCACUCUGCAAACACGAAAGUGGACGUAUAGGGUGUGACGCCUGCCCGGUGCCGGAAGGUUAAGUGAUGGGGUGCAAGCUCUUGAUCGAAGCCCCGGUAAACGGCGGCCGUAACUAUAACGGUCCUAAGGUAGCGAAAUUCCUUGUCGGGUAAGUUCCGACCUGCACGAAUGGCGUAACGAUGGCCACACUGUCUCCUCCUGAGACUCAGCGAAGUUGAAAUGUUUGUGAAGAUGCAAUCUACCCGCGGCUAGACGGAAAGACCCCAUGAACCUUUACUGUAGCUUUGCAUUGGACUUUGACGGGACUUGUGUAGGAUAGGUGGGAGGCUUUGAAGCCGGGACGCUAGUUCCGGUGGAGCCAACCUUGAAAUACCACCCUGGUGUCGUUGAGGUUCUAACCCAGGCCCGUGAAUCCGGGUCGGGAACAGUGCAUGGUGGGCAGUUUGACUGGGGCGGUCUCCUCCCAAAAGGUAACGGAGGAGUUCGAAGGUCUCCUAGGUACGGUCGGACAUCGUACUGAUAGUGCAAUGGCAAAAGGAGGCUUGACUGCGAGACCGACAAGUCGAGCAGGUGCGAAAGCAGGACAUAGUGAUCCGGUGGUUCUGUAUGGAAGGGCCAUCGCUCAACGGAUAAAAGGUACUCUGGGGAUAACAGGCUGAUUCCGCCCAAGAGUUCACAUCGACGGCGGAGUUUGGCACCUCGAUGUCGGCUCAUCACAUCCUGGGGCUGUAGCCGGUCCCAAGGGUAUGGCUGUUCGCCAUUUAAAGUGGUACGUGAGCUGGGUUUAAAACGUCGUGAGACAGUUUGGUCCCUAUCUGCCGUGGGCGUUGGAAGUUUGAGGGGACCUGCUCCUAGUACGAGAGGACCGGAGUGGACGCACCUCUGGUGUACCGGUUGUGACGCCAGUCGCAUCGCCGGGUAGCUAAGUGCGGAAGAGAUAACCGCUGAAAGCAUCUAAGCGGGAAACUCGCCUCAAGAUGAGACUUCCCUGGGGACUCGAUCCCCCUGAAGGGUCGUGGAAGACCACCACGUUGAUAGGUCGGGUGUGGAAGCGCAGUAAUGCGUUAAGCUAACCGAUACUAAUUGCCCGUGAGGCUUGAUCCUAUAACCUUA